UUNAGAAGUUUGAUUCUGGCUCAGAUUGAACGCUGGCGGCAGGCCUAACACAUGCAAGUCGAGCGGAUGAAGGGAGCUUGCUCUUGGAUUCAGCGGCGGACGGGUGAGUAAUGCUUAGGAAUCUGCCUGGUAGUGGGGGGAUAACGUCGUGAAACGGGCGCUAAUACCGCAUACGUCGUGAGGGAGAAAGUGGGGGAUCUUCGGACCUCACGCUAUCAGAUGAGCCUAGGUCGGAUUAGCUAGUUGGUGGGGUAAAGGCCUACCAAGGCGACGAUCCGUAACUGGUCUGAGAGGAUGAUCAGUCACACUGGAACUGAGACACGGUCCAGACUCCUACGGGAGGCAGCAGUGGGGAAUAUUGGACAAUGGGCGAAAGCCUGAUCCAGCCAUGCCGCGUGUGUGAAGAAGGUCUUCGGAUUGUAAAGCACUUUAAGUUGGGAGGAAGGGCAGUAAGUUAAUACCUUGCUGUUUUGACGUUACCAACAGAAUAAGCACCGGCUAACUUCGUGCCAGCAGCCGCGGUAAUACGAAGGGUGCAAGCGUUAAUCGGAAUUACUGGGCGUAAAGCGCGCGUAGGUGGUUCAGCAAGUUGGAUGUGAAAUCCCCGGGCUCAACCUGGGAACUGCAUCCAAAACUACUGAGCUAGAGUACGGUAGAGGGUGGUGGAAUUUCCUGUGUAGCGGUGAAAUGCGUAGAUAUAGGAAGGAACACCAGUGGCGAAGGCGACCACCUGGACUGAUACUGACACUGAGGUGCGAAAGCGUGGGGAGCAAACAGGAUUAGAUACCCUGGUAGUCCACGCCGUAAACGAUGUCGACUAGCCGUUGGGAUCCUUGAGAUCUUAGUGGCGCAGCUAACGCGAUAAGUCGACCGCCNGGANACNCNNNUNGG
rnacentral:rRNA from 1 species